rnacentral:lncRNA from 1 species
GAAUUUAGAAAUCAAGAAAAAUCUAGCCCUGUAAUUAAAAUGUGAAAACAAAAGCUAUUUGUAGAGAAAAACAUCCCAUUAAUGUGAUUUCCUAGUGACAGAUUGACAAGUUCAAAGCAGUAAUGCAUGUUGCCAUGGGCACCAGAUUCUGUUUGCUCGGCUGGCUCAUUUUACUUAGCUGCUGAAGAAGGAGAGUCGCAUUCAGCCAGGGAUCACUGAGCAUUCAAAAGUCCAUCUGAGACCUGCUUUCAUUGCACUGCCUCGUGAGGAGCUGUAGGAGAAGAUAUCAUAACUAUUCCCCACUUCUAAUUGUUAGAAGCAACAGCUGUCUAUCAAGAACAAUCUGAGGAUUGUGCACAAAUUGAUUUGGUUCUAUCAAGUGCUGGCUUUCGAUUCCAGUCUGACUUCACUACCACAGGAGCUUCUUGCUCAGGCUUCUGUUCCGGCUCCAUUCUCUCCCUGCCAUUAUAAUGCCAUCCACUGCAGCACCAUCUCUUCAAUCAGAAAACAUUCAUGAUCUCAUUCCACCUGAAGCCAGUGCCUCUGUAAUGUGUAGCAGAAUCCUAUGGAGAAGUUGUAAAAACACAAAAUGUUGGCCCCACCCCAAGAGUUUCUGAUUUUGCAGGUCUGGAGAGGGCCUGUGAUACGUACUUCUAACAAGCUCCCAGGCGAUGCUAAUGUUGCUGGUCUAGAAACACACUUUGAGAGCCACUGUUUUACAAUGUAUUCACCCAGCUUAUGCAAUCAACUACUAUCACAGCAAAGUCCAAAGAAUGCUCCUUAUUUGUUUGUUAUACUGGAGUUUGGCUUGGCUAAAUAUUAUUUGAAACUGAAUGGCUGUUGAUUGUGGCUCAGAAACUGUUUUCUUCAUAGCGCUGCAAUUGGAUUUAUUUAUUAGAAUUUGAGCUGAAUGUUGUCGUACAUUUUGGUUACAUUGGUUUCUCAGGAUAUUUUAUAGGUACAUGUUGUCUCUUUCUAAGUGCACUGUCACUUGAGGUGGGCCUGGGCCUUUUGUUCCUGUUUGUCCUUACUCUUCCACGGAGCUAGCAGUCUCCAGCACAGGGGUGAUCAGUUCUUAAUCACUGAAGACUAAUUAAUCUUUCAGUAUACAUGCUAUUUUAGUGAGUAAUUUUUGCCAGAAAUACUAGUGCUGAUGUAAAAUAAGGGUUAGGAUUAGGGAAGGAUUUGGCCUGAAUAAUUCAAUUUAUAUGUAUAAGUCA